rnacentral:rRNA from 1 species
AUUGAACGCUGGCGGCAGGCUUAACACAUGCAAGUCGAGCGGGGUGAUGGUGCUUGCACUAUCACUUAGCGGCGGACGGGGGAGUAAUGCUUAGGCAUAUGCCUAUUAGUUGGGGACAACAUAUCGCAAGGGAUGCUAAUACCGCAUACGUCAUACGGGAUAAAGCAGGGGAUCACUGGUGACGUUGCGCUAAUAGAUGAGCCUAAGUCGGACUAGCUAGUUGGUGGGGUAAAGGCCUACCAAGGCGACGAUCUGUAGCGGGUCUGAGAGGAUGAACCGGCACACGGGGACUGAGACACGGCCCAGACUCCUGCGGUAGGCAGCAGUGGGGAAUAUUGGACAAUGGGGGGAACCCUGAUCCAGCCAUGCCGCGUGUGUGAAGAAGGCCUUAUGGUUGUAAAGCACUUUAGGCGAGGAGGAGGCUCUUUUGGUUAAUACCCAAGAUGAGUGGACGUUACUCGCAGAAUAAGCACCGGCUAACUCUGUGCCAGCAGCCGCAGUAA